GGUAAGGCUCAGGUGGUAGAGUGCAUGCCUACCAAGCAUGAAGUUCUGAGUUCAAACUCAAGUACC
rnacentral:tRNA from 1 species